AUCUUUAAUCCAUCUAGAAUUUAUUUUCGUGGGUGAAAUGAAGAAGACAUCUAAUUAGAGAGUUUUAUCAUCUCUGCUGCUGCUGUGUGUGGUGAUGAUGACUGCUACAGUUUGGUGCCCGUUUGAUUCAGACUCGAGAGAUGGGAUUUCUACUCACCCCUGCUUUCGUAGUUUCAGUGCAAAUGUCAACAAGAUGAAAAAUGCAACAAAUGUUGUCAUACAAUUAUGAAGAGGGUUUUAACUUCAUGAACACCUGGGAAAUGACUCAGGGAUUCCUCAAGGCUCUAUGGACUAUACUUUGAGAACGGCAGGUACAGUAGAUGAAAUUAAUGACUAAAGGUUAGGCGCUUUUUACCCUAGCUUUGCCUCAGGCUAGCUCUGCCUUUUGCAAGUCAUUUCACUCGAGCGCCACCUAUUCACUGCAAUGUAGACAGGCUGGAUUAAAUAAUCUGUCAUCUCGCUGUCAGUUCAGGAGCACUGUGGGAUGCUGAACGGUCUUUAUCAUUUACUCAUCAGUAUUAUUGCCUGUCUGUUUCUAGGAUGGCUCGCUCUUUCUGGUGCACUCUUGUCACUACAUAUGUAUGGGCACAUAUUCUCUUCCUAUCUCUUUACAAGACGGGAGGGCAACUCGCUCUCCCAUAGAGAGUUCAGUUGUGCAAGAUGGACUGAAUACUCCACCUCUACUCUAAUUGAACACAGUGCCGCAUGUCCUGAAUGAUUCUAGAUGGAGCAUUUUCAGUUAAGGGGGUGCUCUUUCUCAUGAAACCCAAGCCAGGAAAAUCAGGUCCAUGUCAUAAAAAUAAAAUAAAUACAUAUAUUUUUUAUGAAAAAUAAAGUAGACCAGACUGGGUGGUUUUCUGAAGAAAUCUA
ensembl:lncRNA